UUACGGGUCGCUCCAGUGAGGAAUAUUGCACAAUGGGGGGAACCCUGAUGCAGCAACGCCGCGUGGAGGAUGACGCAUUUCGGUGUGUAAACUCCUUUUAUAUGUCAAGAAAAUGACGGUAGCAUAUGAAUAAGCACCGGCUAACUCCGUGCCAGCAGCCGUGGUAAUACGGAGGGUGCAAGCGUUACUCGGAAUCACUGGGCGUAAAGGACGCGUAGGCGGGUUGGAAAGUCAGGUGUGAAAUCCUACAGCUUAACUGUAGAACUGCACUUGAAACUUCUAAUCUAGAGUAUGGGAGGGGGAGAUGGAAUUAGUGGUGUAGGGGUAAAAUUCGUAGAUAUCACUAGGAACACCUAAAGCGAAGGCGAUCUCCUGGAACAUUACUGACGCUAAGGCGUGAAAGCGUGGGGAGCAAACAGGAUUAGAUACCCGAGUAGUC
rnacentral:rRNA from 1 species